GCUGGGUGCGGUGGCGCAUGCCUGUAAUCCCAGUUUAGGAGGCUGAGGCAGAAGCAUCAAGAGUUCAAAGCCAGCCUCAGGAAAAAGCAACGUGCUGAGCAACUCAAUGAGACUCUGUCUCUA
rnacentral:sRNA from 1 species